UGGAGAAUAUUGCUCAAUGGAGGGAACUCUGAUGCAGCGACGCCGCGUGAACGAAGAAGGCUUUCGAGUCGUAAAGUUCUUUUAUAUGGGAAGAUAAUGACGGUACCAUAAGAAGAAGCCCCGGCUAACUACGUGCCAGCAGCCGCGGUAAUACGUAGGGGGCUAGCGUUGUCCGGAAUCACUGGGCGUAAAGGGUUCGCAGGCGGAAAUGCAAGUCAGGUGUAAAAGGCAGUAGCUUAACUACUGUAAGCAUUUGAAACUGCAUAUCUUGAGAAGAGUAGAGGUAAGUGGAAUUUUUAGUGUAGCGGUGAAAUGCGUAGAUAUUAAAAAGAAUACCGGUGGCGAAGGCGACUUACUGGGCUCAUUCUGACGCUGAGGAACGAAAGCGUGGGUAGCAAACAGG
rnacentral:rRNA from 1 species